GCCGCCUCUCUCAGCUCCGGUCCGUCGACCCUCCGACUCUCCCCGGAAAGAGAUACUCUGGGUUCGCCGUUGGCGACUCGAUGUCGGCACUUCAUCAUGAUAGAAGUUGACUAAGCGGCUCGUUGAUUUAUUUUCAGAGGGCUUAUCGUUGAUACUUUUGGCGGGGACCAGACCAACACAAACGGAGCUAAAAGAAGGCAGCUCGUUCCGAGAACAGGCCGCCGCCGUCAUGGAGGACAAAUCCUUCACUAAAGAGUUGGACCAGUGGAUCGAACAGCUCAACGAGUGCAAGCAGCUCUCGGAAAACCAGGUCCGGACCCUCUGCGAGAAGGCCAAGGAGCUCCUGACUAAGGAGUCCAACGUCCAGGAGGUGCGAUGCCCGGUAACGGUGUGCGGCGACGUCCACGGUCAGUUCCACGACCUCAUGGAGCUAUUCAAGAUCGGGGGGAAGUCGCCCGACACCAACUACCUGUUCAUGGGCGACUACGUGGACCGAGGCUACUACUCCGUGGAGACGGUCUCGCUGCUCGUCACGCUAAAGGUCCGUUUCCAGGAGCGAGUCACUAUCCUGCGAGGGAACCACGAGUCGCGGCAGAUCACGCAGGUCUACGGCUUCUACGACGAGUGCCUGAGGAAGUACGGCAACGCCAACGUGUGGAAGUACUUCACUGACCUGUUCGACUACCUGCCCCUCACCGCGCUGGUGGAUGGACAGAUCUUCUGUCUCCAUGGAGGUUUGUCUCCCUCCAUCGACACUCUGGACCAUAUACGAGCUCUGGACCGUCUGCAGGAGGUUCCACAUGAGGGUCCCAUGUGUGACCUGCUGUGGUCCGACCCCGAUGACCGUGGUGGGUGGGGCAUCUCUCCCCGGGGUGCCGGCUACACCUUUGGACAAGACAUCUCUGAAACCUUCAACCACGCCAACGGCCUCACUCUGGUGUCCCGCGCCCAUCAGCUGGUCAUGGAGGGCUACAACUGGGGCCACGAUAAGAACGUAGUGACCAUCUUCAGUGCUCCGAACUACUGCUACCGCUGUGGAAACCAGGCGGCCAUCAUGGAACUGGAUGACACUCUGAAAUACUCUUUCGGUGGAAUCUCACGAGCAGAGCAAGAAGCACAGAGACUAGCGGAGGCCGCCAGCAGCCCGCGGGGCUAGCUGCUGCUCCGCCGCCAGCAACGACGUCAACGCUACAACGCUGGAGGUCACCGGAGGAAAUCCAGCGCCGUGUAACAAAGAGCUCAUCACCGAAGACCAACAGGGCGGCGCGUUCUUCAUUCUGUUCCACGAGACUCUGGACCAGACCACCGCGAGCAGACAGCUGGACUUCAUGUGCGCUAUUGGUGAAAUGACCAGGUCCAGUCAGGAUCCUAUAGAGCUCAUGGGCCAUGUCACCAGGACCUACUUCAGCACCUCAAAUGUUCACUAGGCUCAAGGGAUGGCUGAAGUGGUGGUGUCAUGAAGAGAUGUCAGGCAUGAGAAUCCCUCACCUUUCGGCGAAAUUCGCCGUUUUGAAACCAAAAUAGGAGAAUGGACCAAAUGUCAACUGGAAGUUUUUGUAUUCAUACAGUUUGAAAAGGAUUGUUUUCCUAGUAUAUUCACAAAAGCUCAGGAGGAGACAUAAACCUGUGCACAAACAUCCAUCACAUCGAGACAUGAGAACUCUCACUCACUCACUCACACACACAUACAUUCUAUUAUGUAAAUGAAUUUUCAUUUUAAAAGCAGCUGGAAAUGUUAUUUAUGUUAUUUUAUAGAUUUUUUUGUUCAAAAGGAACUAUGUUGCACGUAUUUUAAAAAUAUAUUUACUUGAUUUUAUAGACAUUUGUUCAUGGGACCUAAAUGUUCUGAAAAUGUUGUAUUAAUAAAUAUAAUUUACACCAGCAA